rnacentral:lncRNA from 1 species
AGAAGCACCCAUCAUCAGUCAGCUGAAUCCCGUGGAUCGAUCGACCGCCGGCCACAGCAUCGGUUCUCCAAACGGCGACGAGCACGUCCGAAGCUGGUCGUUAGAUAGAUAGAUAGAUAGAUACGUGAUGGAGAACGACAGGAACAACCAGGCGCCGCCGCUACCCCCAGGUUAAUUAAUUUCGAUCGCCAUUUUCGACCUCCAUGCUUAUUUCUGAAACUGUCGCUGGAUUCGCUGCAUCGAUUCAAUUAGUUGUUGGCUUGUUUGCUCAUGCGCGUGCCGUUGGUGUGUGCGUGCAGGCUACUACCCAUCUGCGGCUGCGGAGCAACGUCAAGCCGGUGGCGGGAAGAAGUCGCGCCGGGGGAGCACCAAAUCCAGGGGCGAGAAGGGAUUCAUCGAAGGAUGGUACGUACGCCCCACUACCACCUCCUUUGUAAUUUGCUUAACUGUCCUUAGUGAUUUCCAGCCUGAUAAUGGUCUGAAUUUGGUCUGUGUUUUUCAGCCUGGCGGCGCUGUGCUGCUGCUGGAUCUGUGAGAUGUGCUGCGACUAACCGGCCGGCGACGUCGCUGCCGUUGGUGCUAGUACCUGCGUUGAAGAACGUACACAUACAGAGAGAGUCGCUGCUUAAUUACAGUGUUUGUUUGUUUGUUUGUUGUUUUAGGUUCUGCGUAACUAACCGAGAACCCGCGCGCGUGUGAUGUCCUUGUACCGUUCCUCAAACCUAUAAUCAAUUUUAAGGCACCAAAUUAUCGGGCUACUCUUGAAGAUCCUCUAAUUAAAGAUAACAUCUGCCGUGCAAAAAUGAAAGCUUUUUUCUGCUUAUAACUUUUUUUAAUAAAGAC